GGCUCUCGCUGGGUGGUCGACUGAUACAACAGAGCAGGCGCCUUCUAAGCGCUUGGCCGCAGGUUCGAGUCCUGCCGGGGGCGCCA
rnacentral:tRNA from 1 species